UAAACUUUGAAAAUAAAACUUUAUUAAAUAAAAUACCAAACUCUGAAGAACUUAAAUCAAUCAAGGCCUCCCAAUUUUUUAUAUACGUAUUUUUCCAUUUCAUAGAAGGAGCAGGUCUAGCACCAGUGUGGAUGACAGGCUGGAGAGGAGAACCCUGGAGAAAAGGGGAGCAGCCUCUGACUAGUGGAGAAAAGAGAACACCUCAAGUCAAGAAAUGAAAAUGACCCCAAGCCCAGAACCCUCCCUGCAAGUCACCUCUGCAUUACAAACUAGCUUAUUUAAUGAGAUCACUCCCCACGCCCCUGGUCCUCAGCCAGGGGGCGUUUUUCCUCAGUCACCCCUUCAGUUCCGUUAGCUAGAAACCUCAGAGCAUGGAGGUGCUCCACUCCCUCCCAGUGCACAUACCUAACAUAUCCCCAGGGCUCACCUGCCGCACCCUCCUUCACUUUUCCCCACCACCAACACCAGUCCCCAGUCCAAGCUGUUACCUCCUGCAUGGAUGGCCGAGACAGCCUAUUUCAACUCUCUCCCCUCUAAUACUACUUCAUAUCACUGCCAAGAGUGAUGACACUCCGUUACCACGGCACCUCUACUGGUCUUCCCCCUCAGAUCCCCUCAGUGGAUCAGGAUAAGAACAAAACUUCUUACUAGACUUACCAAACCAAAACCACAGUCGGCCUGGCUGAUUGCACUACUGUCACACUGCCUUUCAGCCUUGUAAAUAACAGGAGAGGUGACUGAACAUGUUGAACAGCAGGUAAAUGUUUACGUUCCUUUGGCCACAGGAUCCGUGUACAUGCUGCUGCUAUUGCAUUUUCCUUUCUUCUUCCCCUAGAUAACAUCUACUCAUUCUUGGAAAACCUUAGUCCAGCUUCGGCAGCCUUCCCCUGUUCCAUCAAGUCCCCUGCUCUGCGUUCUCACCACAGCUUCACAUGCCUCUUACAUACCUACAUCUCCUCUGAUCAUCUGACUAGUGUCUACCGCUUCCAUGAGAACUGCUUUAUGAAAAUAAACAUUGUGUUUAACUCAAAACCGUAGUUCCAACACUUAUUCACCAUGCAUUACAUAUAGCAGAAAGUCAAAUCUUUCUUGUAUAACUGAGUGAAUUAAAACAAAUAAAUGAAUUUAGAAACAGAACUGCAUUAAACAAGGUAGAUUCAAGAGUUAUCUCUGGGAUGUAGAAAUACAUUAGAUGUGCACAGCAUUUCUGGUAUGAGUAAUCACAAUGCCACUAUAAAUUUUUUUUUUAAUAUAGGACUAAGAGAAGGCUUGGGUAGUAAAAAACCACUUUGGGAUAUGCUGAGUUUGAGACAUCUGACUAACAUUCAAAUCCAGAGAGGCAAGAACUAAUUAGUAUGUGAUCUAAAGCUGAUUUUAAGUCUGAUUUAAACACAGACUUGGGUGUGUACCAAUGUGUGCAAAGAGAGAACGAGGAGAAAGAAAAGGCCUCAAAACAAGGAGAGUGAACAAGGAAAGUUCAGAGUGAGACAAAACUGAAACCAAAUCAGAAUCUCAGAAACAUUAGUAUUUAAGAAAAAGGAGAUGACAAAGGAGAUGAUGAAGAGAGCAAGAAGAAAAUUAGAAAACUGUGUUACAGAAGUCAAAGGAACCAAGUUUUUAAAGAGUAACUAUCUCAAUAAUGCCAAGUGCCAAAGAGGGUCAAGAGAGACAGAGACUGGCAAAGAACACAGUGCAAUCAGUAGGUAGUGAGGACAGACAGCCACCUCGGGAACAGAGAAGAGGCGCCGGACACAAGGAACUCAACUCCUUUUCCAAGAAGUCUGGAUGCAAAGGAAGGGACGUGCAGGGAGGAGCUGGGAGUCCAUGAAGUGUGGUGUUUGCUGAUUUGUUUUAAAAAUGAAAGAGGGAGUUCCUGUCGUGGCGCAGUGGUUAAUGAAUCCGACUAGGAACCAUGAGGUUGCGGGUUCGGUCCCUGCCCUUGCUCAGUGGGUUGAUGAUCCGGCGUUGCUGUGAGCUGUGGUGUAGGUCGCAGAUGCGGCUCGGAUCCCGAGCUGGCUACAGCUCCGAUUUGACCCCUAGCCUGGGAACCUCCAUAUGCCGCGGGAGCGGCCCAAAGAAAUAGCAAAAAGACCAAAAAAAAAAAAAAAAAA
rnacentral:lncRNA from 1 species